rnacentral:rRNA from 1 species
GAUGAACGCUGGCGGCGUGCCUAAUACAUGCAAGUCGAGCGAACAGACGAGGAGCUUACUCCUCUGACGUUAGCGGCGGACGGGUGAGUAACACGUGGAUAACCUACCUAUAAGACUGGGAUAACUUCGGGAAACCGGAGCUAAUACCGGAUAAUAUAUUGAACCGCAUGGUUCAAUAGUGAAAGACGGUUUUGCUGUCACUUAUAGAUGGAUCCGCGCCGCAUUAGCUAGUUGGUAAGGUAACGGCUUACCAAGGCAACGAUGCGUAGCCGACCUGAGAGGAUGAUCAGCCACACUGGAACUGAGACACGGUCCAGACUCCUACGGGAGGCAGCAGUAGGGAAUCUUCCGCAAUGGGCGAAAGCCUGACGGAGCAACGCCGCGUGAGUGAUGAAGGUCUUCGGAUCGUAAAACUCUGUUAUUAGGGAAGAACAAAUGUGUAAGUAACUAUGCACGUCUUGACGGUACCUAAUCAGAAAGCCACGGCUAACUACGUG